rnacentral:rRNA from 1 species
AUUGAACGCUGGCGGCAGGCCUAACACAUGCAAGUCGAGCGGAGCGGCGGACGGGUGAGUAAUGCCUAGGAAUCUGCCUGGUCGGGGGGGAUCAAGUCCGGAAACGGGCGCUAAUACCGCAUACUAUCAGAUGAGCCUAGGACGGAUUAGCUAGGUGGUGGGGUAAAGGCCUACAAAGGCGACGAUACGUAACUGGUCUGGGAGGAUGAUCAGUCAAACGGGAACUGAGACACGGUCCAGACUCCUACGGGAGGCAGCAGUGGGGAAUAUUGGACAAUGGGCGAAAGCCUGAUCCAGCCAUGCCGCGUGUGUGAAGAAGGUCUUCGGAUUGUAAAGCACUUUAAGUUGGGAGGCGUUACCAAUAGAAUAAGCACCGGCUAACUUCGUGCCAGCAGCCGCGGUAAUUC